UGUGGUCUUUGCUUCCACAGUCUUCAGCCAGUUUGUGCUUAUGAUAUAUAUUUUAAUAGUUAUCACGAAUGUUUUUAUCGUUGCUAUGGUGGUUGCUAUGACGCUGCCAUGCACACAACGUCGUAGCGUGCUGUUUAAAUCACCGUCCCUGCGUGGUGUCGUUCAGUGAUUGUGUAUGUUAUUCAUGUUAAAUAAUAUUAAUAUUUGAGGCUAGAUUACACCUCUAAUGCGAAGGAUCUUGCGAGUCUGUUCAGAGGCGGACAUGAGUGUGACACCGGACCGAGAUCGCGAACGGACCGGAACUGACGUGUGGCUGGCGUAAAAAAAGGUUUUGUAAACAUUCUGUCCAUUUAACUUAGCGCUGUCAUAAACACGGACCAUUUGGAAGACAACGAUGUCAUCUUCCUUCUGUCAGGAGGAUCCAAGUGAAGCUACAGGAGUUUCAUUAACGUCAAUAACUUGGACCGAACAGUUUGUUUUGCUUGAUGAAGAGGAGGAAGGGCAGCCUGGAGAGAAAGAGAAGCCGGGUUGAGCCCACUUCCAUCAUCCACGUACCACAAGGAAGAUGAGGGGGAGAAAUUAUCCUACCAUUAAAGAGGUAGUACUGACGCAUUUAUGGAGAUGGGACAUGAGGGCCUUGUCUGCGUGCUCAAGAGAAGAUUCCACAGAGUUCAAGCUGAGCAGGCUGCAGCAGGUUUGGAGGAAUCCUCCCCUGAAGAGGAAACAUGGCGAAGUACUUCUCCACUGAUGAAGAAAUUUAUUCUCAAGAGAAGCUGCCUCAGCUCCACGGUCCCUCCUGCAGCUUCCACUCCUGAUGCUAACCCCCUGUUUACAUCACACCAUCCGGGCAGACCUGGAGUCACAGAACUUUGUCCAGAGCUGCCGUCUGAGAAUUGUUGAUCAUAUAAUUUCCAGCAGAUGCCUUAAUGUAAUGUUUGUGCACAAUAAAUGACAUUGAUCAUAA